rnacentral:rRNA from 1 species
AAGGGUGCAGGGCGGAUGCCUUGGCACUAGGAGCCGAUGAAGGACGUGAUAAGCUGCGAUAAGCUUCGGGGAGUUGCACGUAAACUUUGAUCCGAAGAUUUCCGAAUGAGGAAACUCACUUAGAGUAAUGUCUAAGUAUCAUUAAGUGAAUACAUAGCUUAAUGAGGGGAACUCAGGGAACUGAAACAUCUAAGUACCUGAAGGAAGAGAAAGAAAUUCGAUUCCGUAAGUAGCGGCGAGCGAACGCGGAUUAGCCCAAACCAAUAAAGUUUUCUUUAUUGGGGUUGCGGACAUAUCAUAACGAAGAGGUAUCGUAAUUGAAGAGGUUUGGAAAGACCC